rnacentral:rRNA from 1 species
AUUGAACGCUGGCGGCAGGCCUAACACAUGCAAGUCGAGCGCGCGGCGGACGGGUGAGUAAUGUAUGGGGACUGCCCGAUAGAGGGGGCGAACUACAGGAGACGCUAGCUACUACCGCAUACUAUCGGAGAAUCCACAUGGGAUUAGCUAGUAGGUGAGGUAAUGGCUCACCCAGGCGCCGAUCCCUAGCUGGUCUGAGAGGAGGAUCAGCCACACUGGAACUGAGACACGGCCCAGACUCCUACGGAGGCAGCAGUGGGGAAUAUUGCACAAUGGGCGCAAGCCUGAUGCAGCCAUGCGGCGUGUAUGAAGAAGGCCCUAGGGUUGUAAAGUACUUUCAGUCGGGAGGCGUUACCGACAGAAGAAGCACCGGCUAACUCCGUGCCAGCAGCCGCGGUAAUUC